GACGAACGCUGGCGGCGUGCUUAACACAUGCAAGUCGAACGGAAAGGCCCUGCUUUUGUGGGGUGCUCGAGUGGCGAACGGGUGAGUAACACGUGAGUAACCUGCCCUUGACUUUGGGAUAACUUCAGGAAACUGGGGCUAAUACCGGAUAGGAGCUCCUGCUGCAUGGUGGGGGUUGGAAAGUUUCGGCGGUUGGGGAUGGACUCGCGGCUUAUCAGCUUGUUGGUGGGGUAGUGGCUUACCAAGGCUUUGGCGGGUAGCCGGCCUGAGAGGGUGACCGGCCACAUUGGGACUGAGAUACGGCCCAGACUCCUACGGGAGGCAGCAGUGGGGAAUAUUGCACAAUGGGCGGAAGCCUGAUGCAGCAACGCCGCGUGCGGGAUGACGGCCUUCGGGUUGUAAACCGCUUUCGCCUGUAACGAAGCGUGAGUGACGGUAAUGGGUAAAGAAGCACCGGCUAACUACGUG
rnacentral:rRNA from 1 species